AAAAAAAGUAGAGCCUUGGAGGAAGGAGUUAGCGUGUAGAAAUUGUGCAAUACUGGGGAUGGGAGAAUUGGAUAAGGAUAUCAACAAAACAGCAAAGUUAAGAGAGAGAGAGAGAGAGAGCACUAAUUUGUUUGAUGAGUGGGACUAUGGCUUUUUCUACUCUUUAGCUCAUCAUGAUAUGAUGUAAUUUUCAUUUUGGUUUUUGUUUUGUUUUGUUUUGUUUUUGGGUCUAUUUUCUUAUCCAUUUUCUCAACAAAGAGUUGCAUCAAUUUGAGUGGAUAUGUAAAUGAAAAAAAUAAAAAAUAAAAAUAAAAAAUUAAAUGGAUAGAGAAAGAGAGAUAAUGGGGAAACUUCCAUAUCCAUUUUUACCAUUCUAUUGCUUAUACUAAGCCCUCUCUUUCUUCUUUUCUCUUCUCUUCAGCUUCUUCCAUGAGUUCAUUCUUUGUUGGGUUUUCUUCUUCUUCUUCUUCUUCUCCUUCUUCUUCUUCAGCUGCAAUUUCCACUGCUAUUUUAAAUCAUUUGAAUGUGUUUCUGCUUUAUAGAUCUUUGCAGGUUUGUUAUCUCAAAGGUCAAAUAUUGAUACCCACAUAAUUGAAAUGCUUGUUUUCUCUGUUUUUUGAUAACUUGGGUAUUGUUGGAUUCAUUUGCUGGGUUUUGGGGUUUGAGGGUUUGUUUCUUUUCUUUUUUUGAUUAACUAAGUUUGGGAAUCUUUUGAGGGUUGUGUUUGGACCAAUUCCUUUUUCUGGGUUUUGGUGGGCAGCUAUAGGAUAAAAACCAAAUUCUGUUUUUUUUUAAGUUAUUAGAAAUUGAGAAUCUUAGGAUUCUUUUUUGUAGGUAUGUGAAUUUCUUAUCCCUUAAUCAAAAGAAAAUUUUGGCUCUUACUAUAGUGUUAUUGUUUUCAACUCAUCUGGUUUGGCUAGGUGGAUAAGAAAGCAUCUUCUUUCCCAUACAUCCUUUGAAAUCAUUUUCAAUCUGUAGUUUGGUUUUUAUCUCUUUCAUUUUUUUUCACACUUUCUUCUUCUUCUUCUUCUUCUUCUUCUUCUCUUCAUCACCAUCAUACCUUGAAUUUGGAUCGUUUUUGUUUUUCCCCCAUGUCCAAGUGUUGGGUUUAAUUAGACAUUUCCCUGUAGAUUUGACAGUGGGUCUCUCUUCUCUUUCUCUCUCUUUCUAAUAUUUCUUAACUGAGUUUAAGAAAGAGGUCAGACCCACCUCAUCACUUUGUCCAGUUUAAUUUGUGUCGGCUACUGGAUUGAAUGAGUUCUGCUUCAUGUUUUUGGGGUUUAGCUCAAACUUAGGGCAUCUUCUCUUUAUGCUUAUGUUUAUAAGAAGUUGUAGUUUAUAUGGUUGAUUAGAUUUCUUCCAUGAACUGGUUCAUUAAUGGUGGAGUUAUGGAAACUAAGGCUGGUUUGCUUGGUGGGGGUGGGAAGAUAUGGCUUCAAUUAUGGGAAACUGUCAUUGGGAAUUGUUGCAAGAUGCAUCACCAAUAUUAUCAGUAUAUCGGAUCCAAGAAAGUUAAAAAAACAUGGUGGAGAAGGCUUUUAGUGGCUUGGGUUCUUAGCUCUACUCUUGCUUCUUUAUGGAUCUUUCAUUACAUGAGCUCUCAAGCUACAGAGAAGAGAAAAGAAGCCUUGGGAAGUAUGUGUGAUGAGAGAGCUAGGAUGCUUCAAGAUCAGUUUAAUGUUAGUAUGAAUCAUAUUCAAGCAAUGUCCAUUCUCAUCUCUACCUUUCAUCAUGGCAAGAACCCAUCUGCUAUAGAUCAGAGGACCUUUGCGAGAUACACGGAAAGAACUGCUUUUGAGAGGCCUCUUACUAGUGGUGUGGCGUAUGCAGUAAGGGUGCUUCAUUCUGACAGAGAACAUUUUGAGAAGCAACAAGGCUGGACGAUUAAAAGGAUGGACAAAAUCGAACAAAGUCCAGUUCAUGAAGAUGACUAUGCUCCAGAAGAUCUGGAGCCAUCACCCACCCAAGACGAAUAUGCUCCUGUAAUCUUUGCACAGGAUACAAUUUCUCAUGUCGUUUCUCUUGAUAUGCUGUCUGGAGUGGAAGACCGUAAGAAUGUAUUACGUGCUAGAGCAUCGGGAAAGGGAGUCUUAACUGCUCCAUUCAAGUUAAUCAAAACAAAUCGUCUUGGGGUCAUACUUACAUUUGCGGUCUAUAAAAGAGAUCUUCCCUCAAAUGCCACCCCAAAUGAGAGGAUUCAAGCUACAGAUGGGUAUCUUGGCGGAGUUUUUGAUAUCGAGUCACUGGUGGAGAAGUUACUUCAACAGCUUGCAAGCAACCAAACUAUCCUAGUGAAUGUUUAUGAUACCACUAACCAAUCACAUCCAAUCAGUAUGUAUGGUAAAGAUGUAUCUGAAGAUGGGUUGCAGCAUGUUAGUCCCCUGAACUUUGGGGAUCCAGAUAGGAAACAUGAGAUGCGAUGCAGAUUCAAACAAAAACAACCUUGGCCUUGGUUGGCAAUGACAACUUCAAUUGGCAUACUCAUUAUUGCCUUGCUUUUGGGGUAUAUAUUCCAUGCAACCUUGAACCGGAUUGCCAAAGUGGAGGAUGAUUAUCAUGAGAUGAUGGUACUCAAGAAACGGGCAGAAGAUGCUGAUAUUGCCAAAUCCCAGUUCCUUGCAACUGUUUCCCAUGAGAUCAGAACUCCUAUGAAUGGUGUUCUAGGAAUGUUGCAUUUGCUUAUGGACACAGACUUAGAUGUGACUCAACAAGAUUAUGUUAAAACUGCACAAGACAGUGGAAAAGCUUUGGUAUCAUUGAUAAACGAAGUUUUGGAUCAGGCAAAAAUCGAAUCUGGAAAGCUUGAGCUUGAAGCUAUACCUUUCAAUCUCCGAGCAGUUUUGGAUGAUAUUUUAUCACUCUUUUCCGGGAAAUCGCAAGAAAAAGGAUUGGAGCUGGCAGUUUACAUUUCAGAUAGUGUUCCUGAGACGCUUGUUGGUGAUCCUGGAAGGUUUAGGCAAAUCAUCACUAAUCUUGUGGGAAACUCGAUUAAGUUCACAGAAAAAGGACACAUAUUUGUCACUGUUAAUCUCGUCAAGGAGGUUAUUGAAUCGAUUGAUCUUGAGAUUGAGUCGUCAACAAAUAGCACCUUGAGUGGUUAUCCUGUUGCGAAUAGACGUCUCAGCUGGGCAGGGUUUCGAACGUUCAGUCAAGAGGGAUCGACUGCUUGUCAUUUCAUGACAUCUCCACCUGACCUUAUUAACCUCAUGGUAUCCGUGGAAGAUACAGGUGUCGGUAUUCCUCUAGAAGCCCAAUCACGCAUUUUCACUCCCUUCAUGCAGGUUCGACCAUCCAUCUCUAGAACUCAUGGGGGAACGGGUAUUGGGCUGAGUAUUAGUAAAUGUUUGGUUGGCCUCAUGAAGGGGGAGAUUGGUUUUGUGAGUGUACCUAAGGUUGGCUCUACCUUCACAUUCACUGCCGUUUUCACAAACGGCUCGACAAGUGAGUAUAACAACACACAACAAAUUAAGAACACUUCCAUCAGUGCAACCUCAGAAUUUAAGGGUAUGAGAGCCUUAGUUGUGGACCAUCAACCCAUACGGGCCAAAGUAUCGAGAUAUCACAUCCAACGACUUGCAAUAAAUGUUGAAGUCUUAUCUGACUUGAAUCAAUGUCUAUCUACCACGACUAUUAGUGGUUCGACUGUCAAUAUGAUUUUUGUUGAGCAGAAAAUUUGGGAUCAGGGUAUGAGCACAUCGGAACAUUUUAUCAAAAACUUGAGAAAUUCUUAUGCAGUUCCUCCCAAACUAUUUCUCCUUACUAGCUCCAUUAGUUCUUCAAAAGCUAGCACUAUGAUCUCUGAUGUAUUCACUCCCACUGUCAUCUUAAAGCCAUUGAGGGCAGGCAUGCUUGCUGCCUCUCUACACCGAGUCAUGAGUGUGGGGAUCAAGGGUAACCCUCGCAACGGAGAGCUUCCUGUUCUCUCACUCCGCAAUUUACUUCUUGGUCGAAAAAUUCUGGUAAUAGAUGACAAUAAGGUGAAUCGUAUUGUCGCUGCUGGUGCUCUACAGCGAUAUGGAGCUGAUGUGGUAUGUGAAAACAGUGGACGAGAUGCAAUCCGACUGCUUACGCCACCCCAUCAUUUUGAUGCUUGUUUCAUGGAUAUUCAGAUGCCAGAAAUGGAUGGCUUUGAAGCUACAAGAAGAAUUCGGGAAAUUGAACAUCGAAUCAAUGAUGGUAUCCAAGUCGGAGAACUAUCAAAAGAAGCAUACGAGAAUACGUGUUAUUGGCGUGUACCCAUCUUGGCCAUGACAGCAGAUGUAAUCCAGGCUACACAUGAGGAAUGUCUUCGAUGUGGGAUGGAUGGGUACGUUUCGAAACCAUUUGAAGUUGAGAGACUUUACCGAGAAGUUUCUCAAUUUUUCCACAGUACCUCAAAUGGAACUUUAUAGAGAGCAAUCGUAUAAUCCGAGAUUGCCAAUGACAUUGGCCUGUUCAGUCAGGAAUGUACAGCAUGCUUAAAAGGGUGUAGAUUACCGCCGAUCGAAGGUGAAUCGACUUCUUGGAUUGCUUCAUAUUAUGCCAGGCAAGCCUAGAUUUUGUGGAAGAGUGUAAAUAAGUAGACAGACAUGAGUGGUCAGGUGGAGUUCUCGUCACCCGACGAAUGAGAAACGUCGCUAUAUUUUUUCGAAGGUCAGAAAUUCAAGAUUUAUUUGGAAGCGGAAUGAUUCAUCAGGGACUUUCUUAUAUGAAAGUAAUUAAAGUCUCUGUGGUUUGCAAUCUUUUUUUCCUAUAUUUUUAUGAUCAUCCUACAAGUUGCUCAUCAAAGGGAUCAAGAAAUGGCAGUGUAGAUAUCAAUUUGGAUGGAGGAAGAAUGUGGGGUGGCAACUAGAAGAAAAAAAAGAAAAGCUUUGUAUAUUAAAAAAUAUGUUUGAUUUGUAUUCUCACAACUUUACUUUUCUUCUCUUUUUCUUUUAGCUAAUUUUGUUGUAUACUUUUCUAUUUCAGAUGAAAAUAGGACAAAAACUUCACACACUAUAAGAUUUGAACAAAAAAAAAAUGAUAAUGUACAUUUCUUGGUGACAAUUCCCAUUCCUUCAGGUCAGUGUUCUGUAUAAAAUUGUUUAUUUAGCGUGAGGCUGAAGAGUGUUAGAUUUUGAGUGGAUAUUCCAAGAAAAUGCUUUUAAUGAUUGCUAUUAAUAAAGGGGUUAGAUUUCAUCUUUUCAA